UACAGAGGUGGCAAGCGUUGUUCGGAAUUACUGGGCGUAAAGGGCGCGUAGGCGGCCUUCUAAGUCAGACGUGAAAUCCCCCGGCUUAACCUGGGAACUGCGUCUGAUACUGGGAGGCUCGAGUAUGGGAGAGGGAUGUAGAAUUCCAGGCGUAGCGGUGAAAUGCGUAGAUAUCUGGAGGAAUACCGGUGGCGAAGGCGGCAUCCUGGACCAUAACUGACGCUGAGGCGCGAAAGCUAGGGGAGCAAACGGG
rnacentral:rRNA from 1 species